rnacentral:rRNA from 1 species
CUCCCAGACUCCUACGGGAGGCAGCAGUGGGGAAUAUUGCACAAUGGGGGAAACCCUGAUGCAGCGACGCCGCGUGAGCGAUGAAGUAUUUCGGUAUGUAAAUCCCUAUCAGCAGGGAAGAAGAUGACAGUACCUGACUAAGAAGCCCCGGCUAACUACGUGCCAGCAGCCGCGGUAAUACGUAGGGGGCAAGCGUUAUCCGGAUUUACUGGGUGUAAAGGGAGCGUAGACGGUUACGCAAGUCUGGAGUGAAAGGCGGGGGCCCAACCCCCGGACUGCUUUGGAAACUGUAUAACUGGAGUGCAGGAGAGGUAAGUGGAAUUCCUAGUGUAGCGGUGAAAUGCGUAGAUAUUAGGAGGAACACCAGUGGCGAAGGCGGCUUACUGGACUGUAACUGACGUUGAGGCUCGAAAGCGUGGGGAGCAAACAGGAUUAGAUACCCUGGUA